CUAUGUUAUUCGCAUUCUACUCUGCAAGUUCUUUCAGUUGAUACCUGGUAUUAUUAAGAAACACUUAAUCGCGGUGUAUACCUUAUUCAUUUUAAUAUGAACCCAUUUCUAGGCAGAUAAUAUAUUUUCAUUUAAGGAAUGUACAAAAGUAGUUUUCAACAUUCGGUCUUGUUUGCGCUAUGAUAAAUAAGCAUAAAACCUCAAAAAUGUGCAAAAAAACAAAGUCUAAUGACUUGUAAUUUUGUGUCGGCACGAGUUACGUUUUCCAUUUUUGGACAUAAGGAGUAGGAUGCUUUGUAAAGUAAAUGUAGAAAAUUUCGUUCCUCUAACUUCUAUAAUUGCCCAGCAAAGAGCAAAAAUUAAAAAAUUGUUUUUAAAAAAAGCGAACUUGCGUUCGGUUUAUGGUCCACUGCGCAUUUUUGCUGCGACCGAUUUGGCCAGUUUUCAAUACCAACCUACGUGCAGAAAAUUCCAAUGUUUUUGCCAAAUUUAAAUUCGAUAUCUUCAUUUUUCCGACCAGGAGAGUAUUAACAACACACACCACGCAGACAGAUAGUCUUAAAGGCGGACGGACAUGGCGAAAUCAAUUCAGAAUUUCAUGCUGAUCAAGAAUAUACAUAUACUCUACAUGGUCUCUCAAGCUUCCUUUUUGGGUGGUACUUAUAUUUUGGAAAAAAAUAAAAUGAGCAUACCCCAAUUUUACAGUCGGCGAUAUCAGGCUGCUGCAUUUGAGGCAAAAGUCUGCAAUGAAAACAAAAGGAGGAACAGAUUCGCUAUAGAGUGACGCUUGGCAAUAUACUAAUCCUUUCGUUCGACUAGUUAUUUCUCGACCAUUCAUGCCGGAAGCCUAACGCAACUCCUCUUAGGUUAGAUGUAGACAUCAAGCUUUGCUCUCCUAUGUGUGUUAUCGUGAAAGAAAAUUACUCUACAGUUUUAUUAAAAGAACGGAUUUUGACUAAUUGUCAAUUUGAGUAAUCCGUAUCAUUGAUGCAUUUAUACGGCUAAAAAUAAUAAAAAAAAUGUAAAUAGUAAGUAUGUCUAAGAAUACGUCUUUUUUACAUGCUAUUUCUCUUAGGUAAAAGUGUUCCCCGAUCGGCUCGGUAUCAGGAGUGAGGUUACAAAAAAGUCAACAUUGAGACUGCUAGACUUGGCCUUCCGUUUGUCGUCCACAGAAAUAUUUGUUACAAGUUUGUAUUAUAUAGAGCACGUAAUCUUAAAUAAUAUGAAAUUCCCAAUCGAUUUCAUAUAAUCUGGUACAUACGCCGCUCUGCAUGUUAUCCGCUAAUAGUCCUCAAAGAUUUAGAACGAGAACUAAUAUUUAGAUUAUAUAGCUUCAAAAUAAAUAUGAAAUCAUCUGCGACCUAUCUAAAACCAUGUCUACCACAUAAAUAAACUCUAAUUAAUU